UCCAUUAUUAGGCUCUAUUGGCUGAAUCGAUAUAUUAUCCUUAGUCAUUAUGCACAAUAGAUAUUUUACAAAGAAAUCAACCACUGCCUUUUUUUUUAUCUAGAUAGACCUUCACACUUAUAUCAUUGUGUAUGAUCAUUAGCGAACAUCUAUCACUGAUUAUAAACUUUAUUUUAAAGUGAUUUGAAGUUGUAUCUAUCCUCUACUGAACUGCAAUUACUUCAACUAACCCUCUAUAAUUUGUAGUUGCAUCAUACAUAAUUCCAUCUAUACCAAAGACUUUUGAUCUCCCUGAUACAACAACAAAUAUAAUAUAAUUAGUCAUUAUGUCAUGCAUCCCAAGAUCAUACACUAUUACUUAAAAAAUCACUGUUUCGUGUGACUUUCAUCAUAUAUAUAAUUGAAUGCUAAAUAUCAAAUUGUUGAACAAGAUAACAUACCUGAAGCACCACAAUUCAUAUUUGUAUGUCUCAUUUUUAAACUUUUUUGCAGAUUACAGAACUUAAUUUUCAAUAAAAAUAAUCAAAUAUGGAUGGAGUAAAACGUCGCAUUAAACAACAAAAACUUAUAAAAGAUUUUGACUGAAACAAUAGAUUAUUGAAGAAAGAAAAAAGAAAAUUAUUAAAUAAAUAUUGAAUUUCGUCUACACCAAAGUCUCUUGGUCUCCCUGUUGCAACAUCAAAUAUUGUAUAAGUUUUCGAUUAUGUCAUGCAACCCACAAACAUACACAUUACGAUCAAAAGUAACUGUUUAAAGAGACUUUCUUCAUAAUAUUGUAGAAAUUUCAACAUUUUAACAUCACAUAAUUGAAGAAAAUAUAAAAGUUUCUUUAUUAUUUUAUCCCUAAAUGGUUUAAAAGAAUAUUAAAUUCUUUAAAUAGAAGUGAAUGCAAAAUAUAAACUUGCUAAACAAUUUAACAUACCUGAGGCAUAUAAUUUCCCUCCAUGAUGUAUUACGAUUGAAUGAAAAUUAUCACAAUUCAUAUUUGUGUGUCUCAUUUUUUAAUUUUUUGUAGAAUAAUGAACGUUUUAAAAAAAAAAUUACUCAAACAUUGCACUAAACAAAAACUUAUGAAAGAUUUUUAUUGACUCAAUAUAUUCUUGUAAAAAGGCAAAAACGAAUGUGUAUGAAGAUGGAAAAGAAAUUGGCGUGUUCAAAAAAAGGAGAAAAAAAAUGGUUAAAG
rnacentral:lncRNA from 1 species